rnacentral:rRNA from 1 species
GACGAACCGUCCAAACGUUAUUCGGAAUCACUGGGCUUACAGAGUUCGUAGGCGGUCUGGAAAGUUGGGUGUGAAAUCCCUCGGCUCAACCGAGGAACUGCGCUCAAAACUACCCGACUCGAGGGAGAUAGAGGAAAGCGGAACUGAUGGUGGAGCGGUGAAAUGCGUUGAUAUCAUCAGGGACACCGGUGGCGAAGGCGGCUUUCUGGGUCUUACCUGACGCUGAGGAACGAAAGCUAGGGGAGCGAACGGG